rnacentral:rRNA from 1 species
UACGUAGGGGGCAAGCGUUGUCCGGAUUUAUUCGGCGUAAAGAGCGUGUAGGCGGUUUGGUAGGUCCGCUGUGAAAACUCGAGGCUCAACCUCGAGACGCCGGUGGAAACCAUCAGACUAGAGUCCGGAAGAGGAGAGUGGAAUUCCUGGUGUAGCGGUGAAAUGCGCAGAUAUCAGGAAGAACACCCGUGGCUAAGGCGGCUCUCUAGUACGGUACUGACGCUGAGACGCGAAAGCGUGGGGAGCGAACAGG